rnacentral:lncRNA from 1 species
UAGUUGGACUUGAAGAUUAUAACUGCAGUAGAUUUUACCGUAUAAAAUAGCAAUGCUCUGAAGACAGAAUUUGCUUGCAGCUUAAAUUUCCUAAUUGGUCAACUGAACAUCAUCGGAUCUACAAAUCCAGCAUUCUGACAUAGCAUGAAGCACUACACUUACUGUCAAGUAUUUAGAUACUGUAUGGGGACUGUCUGUGUGUUCUCUGAAGUUCUGUUGAAUUUUAAUCGAUGAUUGAUUUUUUUUUUGAUGGCAAAUGGAAGUGCCUUAAGAUUUUUGUAGGUGCGGAUCUGCCGGUGGCAUUUGUGUUCUGUAAGGACCAGUGCAUCGCUUACUAUUCCUUUCUUGAACACAUGCUGUUUUAUCUUAUCUGGGAAGGAAUUCCAAUCUUUAUUUUGUACAGCAAGAGCUGAAUCUUGGAGUAGGCUUCUAGUUGUUUCACAUGGCAAGUAUAUCUUAGCAAUCUUGCUGGAGGCUGCAGUCCACAUGCGACCCUCUUGAUGUUUCUAGCCGUUUCUCUGUUCCAAGCUCUCAUGCGGUCAGAAUAUGCACAAAUUUCUAUAUCACUGGUGUUGUAAUAGGUCACACUCAUGUUGUAAUAGGCCACAAGCCCUCCCACACGUUCACUACAUUCUCUCUUGCUUAUCAUAAUGAUGUAUAGCAAUGGUUAUAAUGUCCAUUUUAAAUGACAUAGAAAAUAUUAGACUUUAAAUAGCAAGGUGAGUAUGACAAUGGUUCUAUAAAUAACAAAUAAUUGAUGGGUUCGCCAGCUUACCUAGUAGAGGAAUAGCCGACAAAUGAUGGAUUCAAAACAUAAUAGUUAACAAAUAGUUAGUGGUAUGCACAAAUAUGUGUCCAGUCCAUGACUAUCUCACAGCCUUCAUAUACGUCCAAUGUGAUGGAUGUUUGAUAGUUGGGCUGGUGAGGUGGCGGCAGCUUAUCACUAUCA